rnacentral:rRNA from 1 species
GAUGAACGCUAGCUACAGGCUUAACACAUGCAAGUCGAGGGGCAGCAUGGUCUUAGCUUGCUAAGGCCGAUGGCGACCGGCGCACGGGUGAGUAACACGUAUCCAACCUGCCGUCUACUCUUGGACAGCCUUCUGAAAGGAAGAUUAAUACAAGAUGGCAUCAUGAGUCCGCAUGUUCACAUGAUUAAAGGUAUUCCGGUAGACGAUGGGGAUGCGUUCCAUUAGAUAGUAGGCGGGGUAACGGCCCACCUAGUCUUCGAUGGAUAGGGGUUCUGAGAGGAAGGUCCCCCCACAUUGGAACUGAGACACGGUCCAAACUCCUACGGGAGGCAGCAGUGAGGAAUAUUGGUCAAUGGACGAGAGUCUGAACCAGCCAAGUAGCGUGAAGGAUGAAGGUCCUACGGAUUGUAAACUUCUUUUAUAAGGGAAUAAAACCUCCACGUGUGGGAGCUUGUAUGUACCUUAUGAAUAAGCAUCGGCUAACUCCGUGCCAG